rnacentral:rRNA from 1 species
GGGAACGUACCUUUCGGUUCGGAAUAAUUCAGGGAAACUUGGACUAAUACCGGAUACGCCCUUCGGGGGAAAGAUUUAUCGCCGAUAGAUCGGCCCGCGUCUGAUUAGCUAGUUGGUGAGGUAAUGGCUCACCAAGGCGACGAUCAGUAGCUGGUCUGAGAGGAUGAUCAGCCACAUUGGGACUGAGACACGGCCCAAACUCCUACGGGAGGCAGCAGUGGGGAAUAUUGGACAAUGGGCGCAAGCCUGAUCCAGCCAUGCCGCGUGAGUGAUGAAGGCCUUAGGGUUGUAAAGCUCUUUUGUCCGGGAAGAUAAUGACUGUACCGGAAGAAUAAGCCCCGGCUAACUUCGUGCCAGCAGCCGCGGUAAUACGAAGGGGGCUAGCGUUGCUCGGAAUCACUGGGCGUAAAGGGCGCGUAGGCGGACUCUUAAGUCGGGGGUGAAAGCCCAGGGCUCAACCCUGGAAUUGCCUUCGAUACUGGGAGUCUUGAGUUCGGAAGAGGUUGGUGGAACUGCGAGU